rnacentral:rRNA from 1 species
UACGGAAGGCAGCAGUGGGGAAUAUUGCACAAUGGGCGCAAGCCUGAUGCAGCCAUGCCGCGUGUAUGAAGAAGGGCCUUCGGGUUGUAAAGUACUUUCAGCGGGGAGGAAGGCGAUGCGGUUAAUAACCGCGUCGAUUGACGUUACCCGCAGAAGAAGCACCGGCUAACUCCGUGCCAGCAGCCGCGGUAAUACGGAGGGUGCAAGCGUUAAUCGGAAUUACUGGGCGUAAAAGCGCACGCAGGCGGUCUGUUAAGUCAGAUGUGAAAUCCCCGGGCUUAACCUGGGAACUGCAUUUUGAAACUGGCAGGCUUGAGUCUUGUAGAGGGGGUAGAAUUCCAGGUGUAGCGGUGAAAUGCGUAGAGAUCUGGAGGAAUCCGGUGGCGAAGGCGGCCCCUGGACAAAGCUGACGCUCAGGUGCGAAAGCGUGGGGAGCAAACAGGAUUAGAUACC